rnacentral:rRNA from 1 species
UAAUUUGCAGAGGAUGCUUCUGGCGACGUGCCUUCCGAGUUCCCUGGAACGGGACGCCAUAGAGGGUGAGAGCCCCGUCCGGUCGUGCACCUAGCCUCUGUGAAGCUCCUUCGAC